rnacentral:rRNA from 1 species
GAUCAUGGCUCAGGACAACGCUGGCGGCGUGCUUAACACAUGCAAGUCGAACGGGGAUAAGCCGGAAGAUUCGGUGGAAGGCUAUCGAGUGGCGGACGGGUGAGUAACGCGUGAGCAAUCUGUCCCAGACAGGGGAAUAACACUUGGAAACAGGUGCUAAUACCGCAUAAGACCACGAGUGGACAUCCACAAGGGGUAAAAGGAGGAAUCCGGUUUGGGGUGAGCUCGCGUCCGAUUAGAUAGUUGGUGAGGUAACGGCCCACCAAGUCGACGAUCGGUAGCCGGACUGAGAGGUUGACCGGCCACAUUGGAACUGAGAGACGGUCCAAACUCCUACGGGAGGCAGCAGUGGGGAAUAUUGGGCAAUGGGCGCAAGCCCUGACCCAGCAACGCCGCGUGAGUGAAGAAGGCCUUCGGGUUGUAAAGCUCUGUUAUAGGGGACGAAGGAAGUGACGGUACCCUAUAAGGAAGCCCCGGCUAACUACGUGCCAGCAGCUGC